rnacentral:rRNA from 1 species
AACAACGCUGGCGGCGUGCCUAACACAUGCAAGUCGUACGAGAAGUCGGCUUCGGCCGAUGAGUACAGUGGCGCACGGGUGAGUAGCGCGUGGGUAAUCUGCCCCCGGUCAGGAACUAACCCGCCGAAAGGCGGGCUAAUACCCGAUAACACUGACGCUCCGCGGAGCGUCUUUCAAAGAAGGCCUCUGUUUACAAGCUUUCGCCGGAGGAUGAGCCCGCGUACCAUUAGCUAGUUGGCAGGGUAAUGGCCUACCAAGGCUACGAUGGUUAGCUGGUCUGAGAGGAUGGCCAGCCACACUGGAACUGAGACACGGUCCAGACUCCUACGGGAGGCAGCAGUGAGGAAUCUUGCGCAAUGGGGGAAACCCUGACGCAGCAACGCCGCGUGAGUGAGGAAGGCCUUCGGGUCGUAAAGCUCUGUCAGAUGGGAAGAAAUGGAUGGGGGCUAAUAUCGCCCAUCCUUGACGGUACCAUCAGAGGAAGCACCGGCUAACUCCGUG